rnacentral:rRNA from 1 species
CCUACGGGAGGCAGCAGUGAGGAAUAUUGGUCAAUGGACGAGAGUCUGAACCAGCCAAGUAGCGUGAAGGAUGACUGCCCUAUGGGUUGUAAACUUCUUUUAUAUGGGAAUAAAAUGUUCCACGUGUGGGAUUUUGUAUGUACCAUAUGAAUAAGGAUCGGCUAACUCCGUGCCAGCAGCCGCGGUAAUACGGAGGAUCCGAGCGUUAUCCGGAUUUAUUGGGUUUAAAGGGAGCGUCGGUGGAUUGUCCAGUCAGUUGUGCAAGUUUGCGGCUCAACCGUAAAAUUGCAGUUGAAACUGGCAGUCUGGAGUACAGUAGAGGUGGGCGGAAUUCGUGGUGUAGCGGUGAAAUGCUUAGAUAUCACGAAGAACUCCGAUUGCGAAGGCAGCUCACUGGACUGCAACUGACACUGAGGCUCGAAAGUGUGGGUAUCAAACAGGAUUAGAUACCCGAGUAGUC